rnacentral:rRNA from 1 species
UACGAAGGUGGCAAGCGUUGUUCGGAUUUACUGGGCGUACAGGGAGCGUAGGCGGUUGGAUAAGCCCUCCGUGAAAUCUCCAGGCUUAACCUGGAAAGUGCAGAGGGGACUGUUCAGCUAGAGGAUGGGAGAGGAGCGCGGAAUUCCCGGUGUAGCGGUGAAAUGCGUAGAUAUUGGGAAGAACACCGGUGGCGAAGGCGGCUCACUGGCUCGUAACUGACGCUCAUGCACGACAGCGUGGGGAUCAAACAGG